CCUACGGGUGGCAGCAGUGGGGAAUAUUGCACAAUGGGGGAAACCCUGAUGCAGUGACGCCGCGUGAGUGAAGAAGUAAUUCGUUACGUAAAGCUCUAUCAGCAGGGAAGAAACACUGACCUUACGGUCAGCAGACGGUAUCUUAGUAAGAAGCCCCGGCUACCUACGUGCCAGCAGCCGCGGUAAUACGUAGGGGGCAAGCGUUAUCCGGAUUUUCUGGGUGGAAAGGGAGCGUAGACGGUGCGCCAAGUCUGGAGGGAAAUGCCGCGGCUUAACUGCGGAACUGCUGUGGAAACUGGAGAUCUAGAGUGCGGGAGAGGUAAGCGGAAUUCCUAGUGGAGCGGUGAAAUGCGUAGAUAUCAGGAGGAACACCGGUGGCGAAGGCGGCUUACUGGACCGUAACUGACGUUGAGGCUCGAAAGCGUGGGGAGCAAACAGGAUUAGAUACCCCAGUAGUC
rnacentral:rRNA from 1 species